rnacentral:rRNA from 1 species
GCCGGCGAGUGGCGAACGGGUGAGUAAUGUAUCGGAACGUACCUUUCAGUGGGGGAUAACGUAGCGAAAGUUACGCUAAUACCGCAUAUUCUCUGAGGAGGAAAGCAGGGGACCUUCGGGCCUUGCGCUGAUGGAGCGGCCGAUAUCAGAUUAGCUAGUUGGUGGGGUAAAGGCUCACCAAGGCUACGAUCUGUAGCGGGUCUGAGAGGAUGAUCCGCCACACUGGGACUGAGACACGGCCCAGACUCCUACGGGAGGCAGCAGUGGGGAAUUUUGGACAAUGGGCGAAAGCCUGAUCCAGCCAUGCCGCGUGAGUGAAGAAGGCCUUCGGGUUGUAAAGCUCUUUCGGACGGGAAGAAAUCAUGAGGGCUAAUAUCCCUUGUGGAUGACGGUACCGUAAUAAGAAGCACCGGCUAACUACGUGCCAGCAGCCGCGGUAAUACGUAGGGUGCGAGCGUUAAUCGGAAUUACUGGGCGUAAAGCGUGCGCAGGCGGUUUUGUAAGACAGGCGUGAAAUCCCCGGGCUCAACCUGGGAACUGCGCUUGUGACUGCAUCACUUGAGUACGGCAGAGGGGGGUGGAAUUCCACGUGUAGCAGUGAAAUGCGUAGAGAUGUGGAGGAACACCGAUGGCGAAGGCAGCCCCCUGGGUCGAUACUGACGCUCAUGCACGAAAGCGUGGGUAGCAAACAGGAUUAGAUACCCUGGUAGUCCACGCCCUAAACGAUGUCAACUAGGUGUUGGGUGGGUAAAACCAUUUAGUACCGUAGCUAACGCGUGAAGUUGACCGCCUGGGGAGUACGGCCGCAAGGUUAAAACUCAAAGGAAUUGACGGGGACCCGCACAAGCGGUGGAUGAUGUGGAUUAAUUCG